CGUAGGGUGCGAGCGUUAAUCGGAAUUACUGGGCGUAAAGCGUGCGCAGGCGGUUUUGUAAGACAGGCGUGAAAUCCCCGGGCUCAACCUGGGAACUGCGCUUGUGACUGCAAGGCUAGAGUACGGCAGAGGGGGGUGGAAUUCCACGUGUAGCAGUGAAAUGCGUAGAGAUGUGGAGGAACACCAAUGGCGAAGGCAGCCCCCUGGGUCGAUACUGACGCUCAUGCACGAAAGCGUGGGUAGCAAACAGGAUUAGAUACCCUGGUAGUCCACGCCCUAAACGAUGUCAACUAGGUGUUGGGUGGGUAAAACCAUUUAGUACCGGAGCUAACGCGUGAUGUUGACCGCCUGGGGGAGUACGGCCGCAAGGUUA
rnacentral:rRNA from 1 species